UACGGAGGGUGCGAGCGUUGUCCGGAAUCACUGGGCGUAAAGGGCGCGUAGGCGGCCUGAUAAGUAGGGGGUGAAAUCCUGAGGCUUAACCUCAGGGCUGCCUUCUAAACUGUCAGGCUCGAGCACAGCAGAGGCAGGUGGAAUUCCCGGUGUAGCGGUGGAAUGCGUAGAGAUCGGGAAGAACAUCAGUGGCGAAGGCGGCCUGCUGGGCUGUUGCUGACGCUGAGGCGCGGACAGCGUGGGGAGCAAACAGG
rnacentral:rRNA from 1 species